GACGAACGCUGGCGGCGUGCUUAACACAUGCGAGUCGAACGGAAAGGCCCUGCUUUUGUGGGGUGCUCGAGUGGCGAACGGGUGAGUAACACGUGAGUAACCUGCCCUUGACUUUGGGAUAACUUCAGGAAACUGGGGCUAAUACCGGAUAGGAGCUCCUGCUGCAUGGUGGGGGUUGGAAAGUUUCGGCGGUUGGGGAUGGACUCGCGGCUUAUCAGCUUGUUGGUGGGGUAGUGGCCUACCAAGGCUUUGACGGGUAGCCGGCCUGAGAGGGUGGCCGGCCACAUUGGGACUGAGGUACGGCCCAGACUCCUACGGGAGGCAGCAGUGGAGAAUAGUGCACAAUGGGCGGAAGCCUGAUGCAGCAACGCCGCGUGCGGGAUGACGGCCUUCGGGUUGUAAACCGCUUUCGCCUGUGACGAAGCGUGAGUGACGGUAAUGGGUAAAGAAGCACCGGCUAACUACGUG
rnacentral:rRNA from 1 species